AGGCCACUUAUCGCUGGCUCUGGCCUUGGCAACCUCCACCCCCGUCCCGGUCCUCUCAGCCUAUCUCUGGAAACCACUCUUUUCACUCCGAAUCUCAACUUGAAGUUUGGGGAAACUUGACGCAGCCAAAGCCCAUCCUCUGCUCUGCACCUGGCAGGAGACUAAUAGUCAGGGAAGAUGGGCAUGUUGUGGGUGGGGGUGGAGAACGGUGUGUCCCUGACCUGCCCUGACAUGCUAACCUGGAUGCGCUGUUGUCUUGGCCUUCAGCGCCACGUAUUUUCCCUCGACAGUAACUUGGCAAGCUUUUCAUGUCACUCUGGCAUCGCUCAGAUUAUCAGCUACCCUUCAGAAAAAGAGCCCUGCGUUUCGAUGGCUAAGGAACUCUGACAGGAAGAGGAGAGGUCCCGACUAGAGGAGGGGGCAGCAUUCAUCUUUUGGCACCGGAGCUGCGGAAGAAGCCCAGGAGCUCAUUCUCGAUGAGCGCGUUGUAGAUAAUCUUCAGAUUGUAAUUCCUCUGCGCGUCCAGUGUCCUAUUCAGCACCACCACUAAGACCUGGGUUUGCGGGUAGAGGAAAAAACCGGCUACAGGGACAGCCCCGAACGCCCGGUCCUCGGCCAGCUGCACUUUCUCCACCGCCACUCGGGAAGCGUGCAGCACUACGUAGCGGGUGGCGUUCCGGCACGCGAUCUCCACGUUGACCUCCCCGGAGAAGGUGAAGUUCUCCAUGAAGGCGGUGAGCAUCAGAUUGUAGUGCAGCGGCUUCAGGUGGCCCGACAGGCGCAGCUGCGUCCACGGCUCCCACGGCUCCCGCUCCUCCUCCGACGGCGGCUGGGCCGACGUGGUCCCCGGACUGGCCACCCCACCCGCCUCGGGCUGCCAGGAGUCCCCGCCUGCGUGGUGGUUGCGCCGGGCCGAUCCAGGGAGGCUCCCGUUGCCGCCGCGCUCCGGAAAGCCUGAGGGGCCACCGUCGGCGCCUGGCGUGGCACUCGCCCCGCACUCGUCGAAGCGCAGGCUGAGCAGCACAGCGAGCAUUGUGACCGCGAGCAAUGCCACGAGGGACACAGCGAAGGCCAGCACAAGCCGCUUGUGUACGGCGAUGUGGCGCUCCGUGGUGCGGGGUCGCACUCCCACUGAGUCUGCCCACGGGUCGGAGAGCCCCCUGCUGCCAGCCCGAAGCGCGGCGUCGUCUUCCCCCAUCGCGGCUGCGAAGGCGGCGGCGUUCGGUCCUCUGGGUGGAAUGUGCUCGCAGCAGCAGUGACGGCGGCCACAGCACGGGAGGCACCCGAGCCAUACACCCUGCAGCUGGAGAGAAAAGGAUGGCCGAGGUGGGAGAGACUAGAGUGAACCAGCAGGAGGAAGUCCCAGGGCCGCGAAGCUACGACGGAGAUCCGUCCUGGAAAAGCCUUCUCCACCCUGGGCACUUUAAGCGGCGGUGGCGGCAAACGGCAGGAGGUUGCAGACCCGACAGCGAGACUCCCUCAUUCCAGUCUUGCUCUGCCCUCCGGAGAUGACAAGUGAGAAAGAAGUGUCCGGCCGGGCCAUCCCCUUCAGAGAAGCAACCACUUCACAAGAAGAUUCUGAAGUUGGCCAUUUUUGAUCCCAGAACAGUUUCUCAUAGAUUAGAAAUAUUGGAGUCUACACAAAAAUCGAUAUUCAUUUACAAGAUCAUCACUAAACUUAUCUUGCAUAACGUCUCUGCCAGCCACAUUAACUGCCUGCAGAAAAGUUUGUUAUGACUGCCUGGUUUUGUAAAGUCCAGACAACUUUACACUAAGCUGAAUAAUGUUCAUUUACUCAAAAGCUAGUCUAAAAUUGUAGAGUUAAUGAACACUAAACCAAAGUUAGUGCUUUAACUGAAAGAUAAUUUACUGUACCCUUUGGAGUCCAGUCCGGUACCAUCAAGAUCUGGGAAAAUACAACUGUUACCAAGAAUAACUGUAAAAUGUGCUGGGAAUGCAAUGUCCUGAGAUAAGGAAGAACUGCCUGAAACAGCCUGGAUCUUAUUCCUGUACUUCCUAGGGAAUGUAACAUCUCAAGUUAAAGAGGAACUGCCCGGAACAGCCCGGGGAUUGUUCCUCUCUCCUGAGAAGGAAGAUUACCUCCAAAGCUCAUCCACUGAGUCACACUGCCCCUGUGGUGGAGGGCGGGCUGCCUUUCCAGGUUCCUCAGCUGUGGUGUAACUGAAGCAGGCACAAUCAAGACUCCAUCUGCUCGAGGCAGCUUUCUCGAACCUUGGGGAACCUACUCACAAUGGAUCACAGGCUUCUUUUGUUUUGUUUCUUGCUGCCUAUCUUGGGAAGCAAAAAUCAGCUGAGUGAAGAUGAGGAAGAAGGUGUUAAAGGUUUGAAGAAAAAAGGAAAAGGAUAUACUAAUCUAAGAGGACAAGUAAGUAGAACAUAGAUAAUGAAAAUGCUGGCCCUUAGGACUGUUGGGCCUAAAUGCUCAUAUUAUAUUGGUAGUCACAAAUUUGAACUUUCUCUAGAGCCAAUUUUUGCAUGUGUGUGCAGGCCUGGAGUAGUUGGAGAGUUGGAUUUAAUAGAAUUGAGGGUCAAGCAACUACAACCAGGGAAGAGUGGGACAAGGGAGAUAAAGGAUAUUGGCAGGGGAGCAAUUAUAAACAUGGACCAUGAUCAAAACUGGACAGGAAGGAAAAUAGAGAUAAGAGGGGUGGAAGGUUAAAAAUAGUGAAAAUGAGAUAGAAUGAAUAGGUUGUAGGUCCCUGUAAAGUUGAAGAAGUAUUAUUAUGCAGUACUCGUUAUUGAAAUGAGGUCACUAUGCUUAAGGCACAGUGAAUCCUAGAAAAUAGUGGUUUUGUUUCUCAUUAGGCAAUACAUUCCUCCUUGCUCCAGAAUGCAACAUACAUGUAUCCUUUUCUGUACUAUUUUUUAUUAAGAAUUCAUACUUAAUUCCACUGACUGCCACUCAAUUUUAAUGUACAGUAGGGAAUUCCUGUACUAUGUAUUAUGAAUCCAUUCCUUUGAAUUUCAUUUAUAAUACUUCAUGACUGACACCUGGCUUUCCACCAAGACUCAAUUUUCAUAGCAAGCCUCAUCAUCAUAAGCCCCCAAAUUAACAGGAUGAGGAGGAAGAAUUGGCAGGCUAAAGAAGAUGAUUAUAUCAAUUAAUGCAGAAAAAGCAUUUGAUAAAAUCCAAUAUUCAUUUGUAAUUAAAAACUCUCAGCAAGUUAGGGAUAGGAAUUACUUCAACUUAAUGAAGAGUGUCUUUAAAAACCUUAUUUUCAUCAGUUAUAACAAAUGUACCACUCUGGUGGUGAAUGUUGCUAAGGAGGGAAGCUAUACAUGUGUGGGGAAAGGAGAUGUGUGAGCAAUUUCUGUACCUUCUACUCAAUCUUCUGUGAGACUAAAAUUGCUGUAAAAAAUAAAGUUCAUUUUUUUAAAAACCUACAGCUGUCAUUCUUAAUGCUGAAAGACAGAAUGCUUUUCUCUAAGAUAGGGAACAAGGCAAAGAUUCAGUUCUCACCACUCCUAUUCAACACAGCACUACAAGUUCUAGCCACUGAAAUGGGGGUUGGGGGGAAGCAGAAGAAGAAAAGAAAUAAAAUGUAUACAGUUUCAAAAGGAAGAAUUAAAAUAGUCCCUGUGUGCAGAUGACAUGAUUGUCUAUUUAGUAAACCCAUGGAUUAUACAAAAAUAAAAUUCCGAGAACUUAAAAAGUGAUUUCAGCAAGAUCACAGGAUAUAAGAUCGAGAUGAAAACCAAUGUCAUUUCUAUAUACAGUAAGUCCUCUCUCUUAAUAUCAUCAAUAGGUUCUUGGAAACUGACUUUAAGCAAAACAACAUAAAACUAAACCCAAUUUUUCAUCAUCAAAGUUAUAACAAAAUGAUGUUGAACAAAACUACAUUAUUUCAGGACCUGCCAUACAUCAUGUCACUUAAAAUUACAGUUUCUAAGAACCUACCAAUGGCAUUAUGUGAGAAUUACUGUAGUAACAAUAAACGUAUGAAAACCAAAAUUAAAACACAUUUACAAUCAACCCAAGGAAAAUGAAAUAUUGAGGUAUAAACUUAAUGUUUUAUGAGGCAACUUAAUGAGGCAAAAAAAUGUAUACUAUCUGAUGCUGAAAAUUGCAAAUGCUGAUGAAAGAAAUCAGUGAUGACAAAUAAACAGAGAGACAUACUAUAGUCACAAAUUGGAAGACUCAACAUAGUAAAAAUGUCAAUUUGCCUCAAAGUAAUCUGUAGGUAUAAGACAAUUAUCAAAAUUCAGGGAAGUUUUUUGUAGGCAUUGGCUAGCCUAUUCUAAAAUUUAUAUGAAAAGCACAAACCUUAGAAUAUCUAAGAUAAUCUGAAAAGAAGAAUAAAGUGAGAGGAAUCACUCUACCUGAUAUUAAGCUUUAUAAUACAGUAACAGUACUCAAGACUGUGUGGUAUUUGCCAAGGCAUGGACUCAGAUCAAUGGAACAGAAGAGAAAACACAGGAAUAGACCCAUAUAAACAUUUCCAACUGAUUGUUUUCCAAUCGAUUUGUGACAAAAGUGCAGAAGUAAUUCAGUGAAGGAAGGAUAGCCUUGCAACAAGUUGUGCUGAAGCAGUGAGCACCCAUAGGCAAAAAGAAAAAGAGAACAUCAACCUUAACCUCACAUCUUAUACAAAAAUUAAUCCAAAAUUGAUAAUAGACUUAAAUGUAAAAUAUAAAACAUUUCACAAAAAUAGAAGAAAGUCUUCAGGAUCUAGGACUAGGCAAAUAAUUCUUAAAUGAUAUCAAAAGCAUAAUUCAUAAAGGGAAAAGUUGAUAAAUUAGACCUCAUUAAAAUUAAAAACUUAUGGAAAAUGUGCUGUUAAGAGGAUAAAAAAUAUAAGCUACAGACUGAAAGAAAAUAUUUGCAAGCCACAUAACUGACAAAGGACUAGUAUCUAGAAUAUAUAAAGAAUUUUCAAUACUCAGUUGUAAAAACAAAAUAAUUCAACCAGAAAAUUGAUAUGAGCAAACAUGUCACUGAAGAGGAUGUACAGAUGGCAAAAAUGCAUGUAAAAAGAUUUCAACUUCAUAAACCGUUAGGGAAAUGUGAAUUAAGCAACCAAUCAGAAUGGUUAAAAUGUUUAAAAAAUAGUAACACCACCAAAUAUUGGCAAGGAUAUAAAGGAAUCGAAUCACUCAUGCAUUGCUAGUAAAAAAUGUAAAGAGGUACAGCCACACUGGGAAACCUUUUCAUGGUUUUCUAAAAACUAAGCAUGGAGUUACCAUACAUCCCAGCAGUUCUACUCAUCAGCAUUUAUCCCAGAGAAAUAAAAAUUUAUGUUUACACUAAAACCUAUAUAUGAAUGUUCAUAAUAGCAUUUUUCAUAGUAGCCAAAAAUUGGAACCGUCUCAGGUGUCCUACCAUGGGUGAAUGGUUAAACAAACUAUGGUGCAUCUAUAUCUACCAUGAAGUAGAACUCAGCAAUAAAAAGGAAUGAACUAUUCAUACACCUUAUAACUUGGAUGCAUCUCCAGGUAAUUGUGCUGAGUGAAAAAAAAAAAAAAAAGCCCCAAUUCCAAAAGGUUAUAUACUCUAUGAUUCUACUUCUGCAAUGUUUAUUAAAUGAUAAAAUUACAGAAGUGGGAAAAUGAUUAGUGGUUUCCAGGGGGUAUAUACAGUAAGGGUGAGAGGGCCGGAAGAGUGCAGUUUUAUAAGGGCAACAUAAGGGACCCUUAUGGUGAUGGGACUGUUCUGUAUCUUGACUCUGUUGGUAGUCACAUGAAUCUACACAUGAUAAAAUUGCAUAGAAUUAAACAUAUAUACACACUCAAAUGAAUGCAUGUAAAACCGGUAAAAUCUGAAUAAGGUAAAUGGAUCAUAAUCAAUGUCAAUUUUCCAUUUGUGAUAUUAUACUAUAGUUAUGUAAGAUGAUGUUAGCAUUGGGAGAAACUGGGUGAUGGAUAUACAGAAUCUUUCUGUAUUAUUUCUUGUAAUUGCAUAUGUAUCUCAAUGGUCUCAAAAUAAAAAGUUAAAUAAAUAAGAGAGACCAAAAAGUGGCUUUCCAGUGGAGAACUGAGAUAAUCUGAGCAUCUUAUGCUCU
rnacentral:lncRNA from 1 species